UCCAAACAAGCAUCUGCCACAUACCAGCAUAAAUCAACGUGCUGUGGGCGGACAAGGAGAAAGACUUCGAGAAAUCGUUGAGGUAGAUGCUUUCACAGCUCAUCAGAUUCUGCGUGUAUAUGUGAUAGAGCGAGAGGAAAAAAACAGAAAGGACGAAGCAUCUGGAGGAGACGUGUCUGCUAAAGUUCAAAUAUAAACCUGAGGAAGAUCAGUCUGCCUCCGGCUCUGGAACAAUUAGGCACGGGUUUGGAACAAGACGGGCAGCUUGUGAGCUCACUGCAUCGAGACUGUUCAUCUCAUGAAUAUUAAUUAGCCUAUGCUGAUGUUUCUCGUGUAUUCGGCAUUGGAAUAUAGUAUCAAGCCAGUUUCAGGUUUGGAGCGCUGGGCGAUAUAUUGUGUGCUGUAAUUGGCACUUUGUUCAAUGAAAGCUGGGAGCUGAGUAGACAUGGAUGAUAACAGCUACUCAAAAAUGCUGUGCUCUCUCUGCCAUCUGGACUCCAUCCCUUGGAUCCCUAUAGGGAGUCUGCACAUGGAUAGCUGGAAAGAUGGAAGAAACAUUACAGUGGAUAGCUCAAUAGCGAUUCAGGUGUGUUAA